UUUUUUUUUUUUUUUUUAAGGAUUAUGGUAAGCAAUCAUCAGUUUUGAAUAAUUUCGUUGUUAGGCCAAUCCUGAUCUGCUUGUGACUUCACAAACUCAGCCAAGAGCUUAAUUUCUUCAUCCUGCAAUCGUAGCCCAAAAGUGCAUUGUCCUCUUGGGGUGCAAUUCUCACCAAAUCCUGGCAUUCUUCCCUUCCCAAAGUAAGUAAUGCGGUAUAUCUCUUCCUCAGUGUCGACGCCAUUUCUUUGCAGGUCUUUCAUAAAAAGAGUGGCGCCUGGUUGUAUAAUGUUUCCACCGGCAUGAUGACACCCAAUGCAAGAACGACUAAACAAAGUUGCCCCGUUUUGUAUAUCUGCAGAGGUUUGUCCUAAUGACACUGGGGUGUUGCAAAAGGGAGAUAAGGAAACAAAAGCAGCCAUUAGAGGUGGAGCCAAGCUCUGCACAAAAUUCACUUCCUUCCGCUUUUGAGGAACUGGGUUUUCAAUUUCUCUUUGCUUUUUCUUUCCCGUUGAAAAGGAGUUGUAUGUUAAAUUUCUACAGCCAGGAAUAAGAGACAGAAUCUGCAUAUUGAUGGAUUGAUGUAUUUGGAAGACUGCGAAUGAUGAAGCGUCAAGUGUCUAGGAAAUAAGUCCAUAUGUAGAUAUGGGCAUAUGACAAAUGGGAAGGGGUCGGUUCACAUUAAUUUGAGUUGGAUACCGCCAUUGGCAGGUUCCGAACCAGAGAGGUGUAAA
rnacentral:misc_RNA from 1 species